CUUCAGCUAAUUAAGUUAACCAGGUCCUGGUCUGCAGUGGCUGCAAAUAGCGGCCUCCUUGGAAGUGUUCCUUAAAUGGGUUGCCCUAGGACCUUGGGAGGC
rnacentral:snoRNA from 1 species